rnacentral:rRNA from 1 species
AAUAGAUACCCAGGUAGUCCACGCCGUAAACGAUGAGUGCUAAGUGUUAGAGGGUUUCCGCCCUUUAGUGCUGCAGCUAACGCAUUAAGCACUCCGCCUGGGGAGUACGGUCGCAAGACUGAAACUCAAAGGAAUUGACGGGGGCCCGCACAAGCGGUGGAGCAUGUGGUUUAAUUCGAAGCAACGCGAAGAACCUUACCAGGUCUUGACAUCCCACUGACCGGUAUAGAGAUAUACCUUUCCCUUCGGGGACAGUGGUAACAGGUGGUGCAUGGUUGUCGUCAGCUCGUGUCGUGAGAUGUUGGGUUAAGUCCCGCAACGAGCGCAACCCUUGAUCUUAGUUGCCAGCAUUUAGUUGGGCACUCUAAGGUGACUGCCGGUGACAAACCGGAGGAAGGUGGGGAUGACGUCAAAUCAUCAUGCCCCUUAUGACCUGGGCUACACACGUGCUACAAUGGAUGGUACAAAGGGCUGCAAGACUGCGAAGUCAAGCCAAUCCCAUAAAAACCAUUCUCAGUUCGGAUUGCAGG